rnacentral:misc_RNA from 1 species
AGCAGGUAUCCAGCUUGGGAAUUCUUGCUGGGAGCUGUACUGCCUUGAACAUGGAAUUCAACCUGAUGGAAUGAUGCCCAGUGACUCCUCGGUAGGUGUUGAACAUGAUUCCUUCAAUACCUUCUUCAGUGAGACUGGUUUUGGCAAGCAUGUGCCAAGAGCUAUAUUUGUUGAUCUUGAACCCACUGUCAUUGAUGAAACUAGAACUGGGACUUAUAGACAACUUUUUCACCCUGAGCAACUUAUAUCUGGCAAGGAAGAUGCUGCUAAUAACUUUGCUAGAGGACACUAUACAGUUGGGAGGGAAAUUGUUGAUCUCUGCCUUGACCGUGUGAGGAAGCUGGCUGACAACUGCACUGGUUUGCAAGGAUUUUUGGUAUU